GAGAUUGACCCAGAUCAGCUUUACAGCAAGUAAGCUUACCCAUUAAGGAGUUCCAAUUCUUUUGGGUAUUUGUUUUGGUUUUUGAGUGGUUUGGAAUUGGGUAUGACCAAGUUGAGGAUUUGAGUUGACUUUUGUGUUCUCGAGGGUAUCCAACUGGUGAUUUGGUGGCGUUCCUAUUGGUGUUUGUAGCUAGUGGCUGUUACAGAUUUUAUAUAUUUUCC
rnacentral:misc_RNA from 1 species